CUUGGUCAUUUAGAGGAAGUAAAAGUCGUAACAAGGUUUCCGUAGGUGAACCUGCGGAAGGAUCAUUACCGAGUUAGGGUUUCUUAUAAGCCCGACCUCCAACCCUUUGUUAAACCUACUUUGUUGCUUUGGCAGGCCCGCCUUCGGGGCCGCUGGAGGGGUUCAGUCCCCUCUGGCCAGUGCCUGCCAGUAGCCAAUUUAAAUUCACUUUUAACCAUGUUGUCUGAUCAUGCAAUUGAAAAUUAAUUUUAAAACUUUCAACAACGGAUCUCUUGGUUCUGGCAUCGAUGAAGAACGCAGCGAAAUGCGAUAAGUAAUGUGAAUUGCAGAAUUCAGUGAAUCAUCGAAUCUUUGAACGCACAUUGCGCCCCUUGGUAUUCCGAGGGGCAUGCCUGUUCGAGCGUCAUUAUCAACCAUCAAGCCCGGCUUGUUAUUGGGCGCCUAUCGCUUCAAAGAGCGAUUGGCCCGAAAGAUAAUGGCGGUGUCAAGAUUAGACCCCAGGUGCAGCGAGCUCUAAGCAUACACUGAGGUGGUCGUUUUGGCCCGGCUUUAACUAUUAAAUUUUUCAAGGUUGACCUCGGAUCAGGUAGGAUUACCCGCUGAACUUAAGCAUAUCAAUAAGCGGAGGA
rnacentral:rRNA from 1 species